UAGGGUGCAAUGCAGCCUGCUGGGACCGAGGACCGCGCUUCGGCUAGGAUGCUGGCGUAAUGGUUGUAAGCGGCCCGUCUUGAAACACGGACCAAGGAGUCUAACAUCUAUGCGAGUGUUUGGGUGUCAAACCCAUACGCGUAAUGAAAGUGAACGGAGGUGAGAACCCUUAAGGGUGCAUCAUCGACCGAUCCUGAUGUCUUCGGAAGGAUUUGAGUAAGAGCAUAGCUGUUGGGACCCGAAAGAUGGUGAACUAUGCCUGAAUAGGGUGAAGCCAGAGGAAACUCUGGUGGAGGCUCGCAGCGGUUCUGACGUGCAAAUCGAUCGUCAAAUUUGGGUAUAGGGGCGAAAGACUAAUCGAACCAUCUAGUAGCUGGUUCCUGCCGAAGUUUCCCUCAGGAUAGCAGUGUUGAAUUCAGUUUUAUGAGGUAAGGCGAAUGAUUAGAGGCCUUGGGGUUGAAACAACCUUAACCUAUUCUCAAACUUUAAAUAUGUAAGAAGUCCUUGUUACUUAAUUGAACGUGGACAUUCGAAUGUACCAACACUAGUGGGCCAUUUUUGGUAAGCAGAACUGGCGAUGCGGGAUGAACCGAACGCGGAGUUAAGGUGCCGGAAUAUACGCUCAUCAGACACCACAAAAGGUGUUGGUUCAUCUAG
rnacentral:rRNA from 1 species